ensembl:lncRNA
GGAGGGAAAGGAAUUGUGUAACCAAGACAACCGCUGACUGUGGAGUGUGUUCUGCCCUGUUCUGUUCUGUUCUGUUAGAUCACCUCAAACUGCAUGCUGGGAAACCAGUUCAGUGGAAGAGAAGCGGGUGUUGUGUAGACUGACGAUGCGCUCUUCACAUGAACACGGGUGAUUGUUCCUAUGUCUCAGACACACAGAGGCAGACAUCAGGUGGGAUCAGGUGCGAGAACCAUACCAGAAUCUGAUGAUGUGUGAUAUCUCUGUUGAAGUGUGUAAAUAUGUCUAUCAGUGUCCUUGUCUCGAGCGCAGGAGAGUGUCUGUGUCUGUGUCCUUGUCUCAGGAGAGUGUCUCUGUCUCUGUCUCAGUGUCCUUGUCUCGAGGGCAGGAGAGUGUCUGUGUCUUAGUGUCCUUGUCUCUAGGGCAGGAGAGUGUCUUUGUCUGUCUCAGUGUCCUUGUCUCGAGGGCAGGAGAGUGUCUGUGUCUGUCUCUGUGUCCUUGUCUCUAGGGCAGGAGAGUGUCUGUGUCUGUCUCUGUGUCCUUGUCUCAGGAGAGUGUCUCUGUCUGUCUCAGUGUCCUUGUCUCGAGGGCAGAAGAGUGUCUCUGUCUCAGUGUCCUUGUCUCGAGGGCAGGAGUGUGUGUGUGUCUCUGUCUGUGUCUCAGGAGAGUGUCAGUGUCUGUGUCCUUGUCUCAGGAGAGUGUCUCUGUCUCAGUGUCCUUGUCUCUAGGGCAGAAGAGUGUCUGUGUCUCAGUGUCCUUGUCUCUAGGGCAGGAGAGUGUCUGUGUCUCAGUGUUCUUGUCUCAGGAGAGUGUCUGUGUCUCUGUCUCAGUGUCCUUGUCUCGAGGGCAGGAGUGAGAGUGUCUCUGUCUCAGUGUCCUUGUCUCUAGGACAGGAGAGUGUCUGUGUCUCGUAUGUGUUUACUGUGAGAUGGUGGCUCUUGGGUCACAUGUGUCAUAAACCGCCGAACUAUGGAACGGAUCAGCGAUGGUAUCCAGAGGCUGUACCAGAUCUGUCCCACGGUCAAACUUAGUGUGUGUGUGUGUGUGUGUGUGUAUGGGGAAGGGAGGGGGUGAUGUGUGUUGUCCUGCACUGGGCGUUGCUUCUCAUAAUUAAAUGAUCCCUCCCUCGUCAUCUCUCGCUCUUGCAGGUGGAGUUGGGGGGGGGGGGGCGGAACAUUAGAACAGCGGAACAAGUGCUAGGCGUGUGUGUGUCUGUGUGUGUGUGUAGGUGUGUGUGGAGUGGCGUUGUCACUGACAAGCUUUUUUUAGCCCUAGCCGUGACCACUCACUGACCCGCGACAAAGCUCUCUCUCCUCUCCUCUCCUCCCUGUCUCUCUCUCUCCUCUCCUCCCCUCCCCUCUCUGUCUCUCUCUCUCCUCCCCUCCCUGACUCUCUCUUUCUCUCACUCUCUUCUCUCUCUCCUCCUCUCUCUCAAGGAUGCUGGUGUCCCCGUGCUGAACCUUUUCCCAGACUGCGUCAGUGUGUGUGCUGAAAAAGAGUGUGUGUGUGCUGAAAAAGAGAGUGUGUGUCAAGAGAGAGAGUGUGUGUGUGUGUGUGUGGUGAAAAAGAGUCGAGAGAGUGUGUACUCGGAGAAAGGCUGCACCUCCAACGGCGGGGGAGGGGUGGGGCAUCACCGCCUGAGCAGAGGACAAGUUCAGAGGGAGGACAACACACACACUCACACACACACUUUCACUCACACAGACACUUACAUCGACCAUCAUCCACACAUUCAAAUCUCCACACACACGCACACACACUUUUGCACACACCUAUAGGUCUGUUUUAUCAUGGAGAUGGAAGUUUGUGAAUCUGGCGUCUCAGAUCUACCUCAGCACGAGCGGCUGUCUGGUGAAGCUCGUCAGUGGUGCUGUGGUGCUCUGGUGUCAGUGUGGGUGGGAGAAGGUGCUGUGGUGCUCUGGUGUCAGUGUGGGUGGGAGAAGGUGCUGUGUCCUUAAGUGCACUGAAUGAAAUGUGUUCCUGACUGCAGCAGAACCAUGGGUAGGAACCAGCUCAAGACCGGACUGGACAGAUGACGGCCAGAUUCUAUUCCACAGCCUGCUGCUCUUUCUGUGAGUGGUGUGUGUGUGUGUGUGUGUGUGCAUGGAGCUAACCCUAACCCUUAAGAUAAGCAGAUGGGUUUGGGGGCCAUUCUGGGCCUGAGUGG